CUCCCUCCGCAGGCUGCGGCCCCAGGCUGGGCGGGGCGAGUGGCUCUAGGAAAGGCUCAGCCUCCAGCACCACUAGGAGC
rnacentral:pre_miRNA from 1 species